rnacentral:lncRNA from 1 species
CGCAAAUGAACAUGGCCUAUUCAUAAUGGAAAGCUUCGACUCAUCUAAAUUUGUACCAAAGCAAAGAGCUUUAAUCAAAAACUUAAUUAUUUGCCCUUUUAGGAUACUCUGCCAUUAAUACAAGCAGCAGAGAUUGAUUCCUAGCCAGACAAAAAUCAAGAGUAACCGGCUAAAAAGAAAAUAAACCCCAAUACCAAACGGAAUAUGAGAUGUGAAGA